UGCAGUGUGCGGCCGCGAGCAGCCGGGCGGCCCAGAGUUAGCGGGUGCGCUGCUCGCAGCACCGCGGCUGGCACAGGUGUAUCGUGCCUCAGCGGUGCGGUAUCCGCGCAGGCAGAAGUAGCGGUACGGGAGCUGUCGUCAAAGCCUUGCGGAGCGCUCGCUGUGCCGUGCCGAGCCCCGGGCUCUCUGGCGGCCAGCCAGCGCCCUGCAAGUCCUGUGACAUCAGCGUCAGCUCUGUCCCUGCUCUCUGGAGCUGACAGUGAGCUGCACGUAGCCCCUUCGCCUUUUUUUUUUUUUUUUCUUCCUAUGCCUUUGCUUUUUUUUUUUUAGAGGCUUUUUUUUUUCUGGCCUGUUUUCUCCCAUCACUUAGAAUCCCCUGCAGCAAGGCACGAAGGAGAACAGUCGCAGGGUGGCUGUGAGCUUUCCUGCUUUCAGCCCAGAGUCGGAGCAGAGUGACACGCACAGAACAACAAAGCAUUUUGCAGCGUUCUUUCUGGUUCAGAUACUUCUAUUCGAAAAUGAGCUCUGCGUUUUAAUCCAAUUGCUGUUGACUCAUUUCACGGUCUGAAGCUGGUAACCUAAGCACUGUGGGUCCAGCCCUAGAAUGGAGGUGGUCAUGUUUGCUGAAACAACAGGUGUGGUUUGCAGUUCAACAUAGUUACUAAAACUAUUAGAGCCUUCUGAAGGUGAGGGCUGGCUACGCUAUGACAUAUAUCCAGUCUUUUGGGAUAGUAAAAGGAGACUAUUGCAGGAAAAAUAAAAGUCACUUAACAC
rnacentral:lncRNA from 7 species